rnacentral:rRNA from 1 species
GACGAACGCUGGCGGCGUGCUUAACACAUGCAAGUCGAACGGUGAAGCCCUUCGGGGUGGCUCAGUGGCGAACGGGUGAGUAACACGUGAGCAACCUGCCCCUGGCUCUGGGACAACCACUGGAAACGGUGGCUAAUACCGGAUACGACCCGCCUCGGCAUCGAGUGUGGGUGGAAAGUUUUUCGGCUGGGGAUGGGCUCGCGGCCUAUCAGCUUGUUGGUGAGGUGAAGGCUCACCAAGGCGGCGACGGGUAGCCGGCCUGAGAGGGCGACCGGCCACACUGGGACUGAGACACGGCCCAGACUCCUACGGGAGGCAGCAGUGGGGAAUAUUGCACAAUGGGCGAAAGCCUGAUGCAGCGACGCCGCGUGAGGGAUGACGGCCUUCGGGUUGUAAACCUCUUUCAGCUCCGAAGAAGCGAAAGUGACGGUAGGAGCAGAAGAAGCACCGGCUAACUACG